GGAGAGAUGGCUGAGUGGUAAAGCGGCGGUCUCGAAAACCGUUGAGGGUUAAUAACCCUUCGUGGGUUCGAAUCCCACUCUCUCCGCCA
rnacentral:tRNA from 1 species